rnacentral:rRNA from 1 species
GAUGAACGCUGGCGGCGUGCUUAACACAUGCAAGUCGAACGGGAAACCUUUUAUUGAAGCUUCGGCAGAUUUAGCUGGUUUCUAGUGGCGGACGGGUGAGUAACGCGUGGGUAACCUGCCUUAUACAGGGGGAUAACAGUCAGAAAUGGCUGCUAAUACCGCAUAAGCGCACAGAGCUGCAUGGCUCAGUGUGAAAAACUCCGGUGGUAUAAGAUGGACCCGCGUUGGAUUAGCUGGUUGGUGGGGUAACGGCCCACCAAGGCGACGAUCCAUAGCCGGCCUGAGAGGGUGAACGGCCACAUUGGGACUGAGACACGGCCCAGACUCCUACGGGAGGCAGCAGUGGGGAAUAUUGCACAAUGGGGGAAACCCUGAUGCAGCGACGCCGCGUGAAGGAAGAAGUAUCUCGGUAUGUAAACUUCUAUCAGCAGGGAAGAUAAUGACGGUACCUGACUAAGAAGCCCCGGCUAACUACAUG